GCAAGUCCGGAGCAGGGUUGCUGGGAUGAGAUCGAAGCGUGACCCUGCUCGUACCUGUUGACCAACUCAUAGAGUCAGCACAGCAUCUGCUCUGUCCUCCUGAGACUCCGUUGACUUACCAGAAGAGACGCGCACGAAGAGCUUCAUUGAAUUACUGAAGAUGAGCUUUUCACCAAAAGGAAUUUGAGGCAGCUUGCAAAAUUGAUUAAUAGGAUUGGAAAACAGACUUCAGAGCCAAACUCGGAUUUUAUCUGGAAGAAAGUUUCACCACAGCACACAGGUGUUGUGACCAGGAGAGACGGUGUGCUUCCGUGGACACAGGAUGUGCAGGCGGCAUCCUGGACUCCUUCACCUUCAGUGUUAAUGGAGAAGGUGGCCCCAGACACCGUGGGAAGGCAGCUGCUACAGACCUGGGUGCUAUCGCCUUCUCCCUGGAGCUCCAUGGCUGCUGGGCUUGG